rnacentral:rRNA from 1 species
AGCGAACGUUAGCGGCGGGCCUAACACAUGCAAGUCGAACGAGAAAAUCCCUUCGGGGGUGAGUACAGUGGCGCACGGGUGAGGAACGCGUAGGUAAUCUACCCUUUGGCGGGGGACAACAUUCCGAAAGGAAUGCUAAUACCGCGUAAGACCACGCCCACUGCGGUGGAAGUGGUAAAAGGUGCCUCAAAGCACCACCAGAGGAUGAGCCUGCGUCCCAUCAGCUUGUUGGUAAGGUAAUGGCUUACCAAGGCUAAGACGGGUAGCUGGUCUGAGAGGAUGAUCAGCCACACUGGCACUGGAACACGGGCCAGACUCCUACGGGAGGCAGCAGUGAG